CAGAGGGUAAUCUAAUACUUAAGGUGCUCAACUUACAAUUGAAAAAUGUUCAACAAAGAGCCCCCCUGA
rnacentral:tRNA from 1 species